rnacentral:rRNA from 1 species
AUGCAUGUCCAAGUACAGUUCGGGAAGCAAUUCCUGGGCGAAACCGCAGACGGCUCAUUAAAUCAGUUGUGGUCUAAAUGGGCGAAAGAUAUCUUAUGGAUAACUGUGGAAAAUCCAGAGCUAAUACAUGCGAUCUCAGGUCCUGAGCCAACGGCGUUUCGGCGCCUAGUAACUUGGGAUGCUUUUAUUAGACCGAGGCGCGCGCACACCAGAAACGACUAGCGUCUUCACGGAUGUCUAGAACCGGUCUGUUAGUUUGUGUCGCUCAGUAAGCGCUAUGUGGUGAAUCUGGAUAACACUUGAUGAGCGUGUCAUAAUUUGGCACGCCGCCUACUUACGAGUGACUGACCUAUCAGCUAAAACGUAUGUUAUACGCAAACGUUGGCACUGACGGGUAACGGGGAAUCAGAGUUUGAUUCCGGAGAGGCAGCCUGAGAAACGGCUACCACG